UUGGGCAGAGGCGUUCCCUCUGCCCCGCUCUCCGGCGGGGGCUGCUGCAGAGGUCCAGAGGGUCCCCUUCUGCCUCCUUCCUGCCCCCAGCUCUCUUUCUGGGGCCGCGCUGCGAAGACCUUGGGAUCACUCGUGAUGAGGGGAAGCAGGGAUUUUUUCCCCCGGGUGCUGGAAGCAUUCUGCCCUUCCCAAGCGUGUCUUCCCCCGAUUCCCAGGACCCGCAGCUACCCCUUAGGCCUACUUGUGAUGGCAGCCCAAGAGGUGGUGCGCAAUCAGGCUCUGUCUCUGUCAGAGCAUCAGCGCUAGCCGAGACCGUAGAGAAGCGCGUUUCUCGUGUAGCCUGCGUUUCCAGCCAGGCAGCCAGCGGCGUGGAGAGCAGUGUAUUUCCUCCGGGCCCAAGUUGUGUUCCCGGUUCUCCUGUUCCUAGCGGGGAGUAACGCGCAGCCCAGUUCAGCUCUCCUCCUGGGCUAAAUGUUGAGAUCGCUUGUGUCACGGGCUGUACGUCUGCAUCCCAGGCAUGGUAGCGCAGCUGUGCUCAUUAGAGGCAAGUGGAUGGUUAGACGUGCCAAAGAGUGCGUCUGGGAGUGGGAAUCGGGAGACCUUGGAGAUGUGAGCCGGCAUGCUAUGCCAGGAGAAUUAGUUGUGUAGUAAGACAGGGCCCCUGGAGGCCCGCAGCAGCUGUUUGGAAAAUGCUCGUGAGGUGAAGGGAGCGAAAAGUGUUGCGGAGUCAUUACGUGGUGCACUUGCUUUCAGUAAAUUACUAGAGGUUUGCAUCAUAGCGAAAUAUGUCAGGUAAGCUGUUUUUCAUGUAUGUCUCACUACAGAUGGGCAGGCGUUCAUGGCUUACCCAUCAUUAGACGGGCGACCAAUUUCUGAGCGUCGGCAGGAUCCCCAGGGCAGUACGUACCUAUCUUCGGAGAGGGGUCGGAUUUUCGAGCAUCGGCGGGGUUCCCUGGAUGUCCCUGUAGGCAGAGCACACCCUUCUUCGGAAAGGGAUCCCGUUUCUGAGCGUUGGCAGGAUCUCCAAGGUAAGUACUCAGUAUUUACUUCUAGGAAAGAAUGUGCAUUCUUACAAUCCUUUAGGUUUCCUGGAUAGGAAUAGAUGUGUAGUGGAAAGUGUUGUCAUUAGCAUGCACAAUGCUUACCUAUCUUCAGAGAGGGGUCGGAUUUUCGUAGGUCAGCGGGAUCCCUGGGUAAGUAGUCAGUAUUUAUUUCCUGGAAAGAAUGAGCAUUUUCACAGUUCCUCAGAAGAGCAGCAGAGCGAAACAUGUAAUGGAAACUGGUUCUGUGCAUGUUUGCCUACACAUGGGCCUGUUGGGGAAGCUCAAGGAAGUUCCCAGUGGGAUCCUGUUUUCCAGCGUCAGCAGGAUCUCCUGGGUAGGUAGUCAGUAUUGAUUUCCUAGAAAGCAUAAGUAUUCUUACAAUUUCCAGUGGAAAUGCUUCUGGUCUUCUACAUCCUCUGUGACUAUGGCAUGCUGAGACUUUACCUUUCUCUGAUUAGGGACAAAUCUCUCAAAACCGGAAGAGAAGCGCCCCGUCGUCAUAAUUCCGGAGGAUAAAAGUGGUGAAGGUAAAUACAAAGCAGUUUUGUUUUUUGUAAAGCUGUCCGUUAGGACCUUUAUCACUUAGUAAAUAGUGGAUGCUAGUUUGGUCUUCCUGCCCAUCUCUAAGCGACGCACUGUCAUCUGGUUAGACAGAGGCUUACAUCCUUGUAUAUAAAUACCUGAUGAGAGGAUGUAAAGAAGAUCAUCCCGGCAGUGCAGAGUUUGUCCCCACAGCAUGGGUGAAAAGCAGCCCAGUAGCAGAGCCUGUCUCUCACCUACUGCCAACAUUGGUGGCUAUUUAUUCCCUUCUCCACUGGAUGCAAGAGCCAUUUGUACUUUCUCAUCAGACUGUCCGAUACUUUUGUUUAAAGGGGCACUACAAAGAGGAAUGUCCUGUGCACGACUAAUACUUUGUCUUUUUUAAUUUUUUUUGAAACUUGGCUGCAGGGAAGGUUGCAGGUUCCCUUCAAGGGAAAUGAUGAUUUACAUUCUGUGAGGACUUUCUGCCCAGGUCAGUCAGCUGCAACUUGUCAGUUAAAUUUGUGCCACCCG
rnacentral:lncRNA from 1 species